rnacentral:rRNA from 1 species
GUGAAGUUUUUCGGAUCGCGGCGACGCCGGCGGUUCGCCGCCGGUGUUGUGGUGAGAAGUUCAUUAAACCUUAUCAUUUAGAGGAAGGAGAAGUCGUAACAAGGUUUCCGUAGGUGAACCUGCGGAAGGAUCAUUG